rnacentral:lncRNA from 1 species
AUUUCCUUCUCAUCUCAUUUUCCCUAAGGUACGGAAAGAAUUAGGGGCAUUUGUCCCAGAGCGCCUUCUCCAACAGGAUAUCUCCAUCCGCUGCCUGCUUUUCUGCUUUUUGUUCAUGGCUCGGAACAGGAAAACUCGCUUUCCUGCUUUCUCAAUACCAAAUGGAGGAAAGUGGAGAAGACAUUCCAGAAAACUGAUAUGGAGUCAGAAUGUCGGCUCUGAAGACAAAGGUGGAAGAAGCAGCUGGCUGGGGCCUCCUGCCAAAGUGCACACUGGUUACAACUGUGGAUCUUAGACAGGACUGGACAGAGAGCUUUAAAGUACUCUCUAAAAAAACGAGCUCACCGCUCAUCCCUCUCUCUCUGGUAAUGGUUUAUAACAGGAGAUAAAAUUCUCAUCUGUCUGUGAAGCUUUAUCUGAAAGCAUCUAAAAAUGAGGGACCCAAUAAAUUCUAUAC